GGUCGCGUGGCCCAAUGGCAAGGCGCUUGACUACGACUUUCAAUUGAAAUCAAGAGAUUGCAGGUUCGAUCCCUGCCGCGAUCA